GUGGGGAAUAUUGCACAAUGGGCGGAAGCCUGAUGCAGCAACGCCGCGUGCGGGAUGACGGCCUUCGGGUUGUAAACCGCUUUCAGCAGGGACGAAGCGCAAGUGACGGUACCUGCAGAAGAAGCACCGGCUAACUACGUGCCAGCAGCCGCGGUGAUACGUAGGGUGCGAGCGUUGUCCGGAUUUAUUGGGCGUAAAGAGCUUGUAGGCGGUUGGUUGCGUCGAAAGUGCAAACUCAGGGCUUAACUCUGAGCCUGCUUUCGAUACGGGCUGACUGGAGGAAGGUAGGGGAGAAUGGAAUUCCCGGUGGAGCGGUGGAAUGCGCAGAUAUCGGGAGGAACACCAGUGGCGAAGGCGGUUCUCUGGACCUUUCCUGACGCUGAGAAGCGAAAGCGUGGGGAGCAAACAGGCUUAGAAACCCCAGUAGUCC
rnacentral:rRNA from 1 species